ACGUAGCCGUUCCGCAGGCUCUCCGGGCCGCUCCCGGGGCGAGCGAGGGGGGCAGCCGCCCCGCCGCCGUCCGGCGGCUGGGGGAGUUUGCUAGGUCCAUGCUGGGAGGCGGCGGCGGCGGCGGCUUCUCUCUCUUCCCUCAUGGUGGUCUGGGGAAAGCGUGGGUCUCGUCAGCUCCGUCUCCUCCUGCCUGGCGCUGCCUGCCUCAUCUCCGCCCGGGAAAGGCUCUCGGGUCAGCCGCGGGCUCCUCUCCCCGACUGAGCGGCGGAGUCUGGAGCAUGGUGGGUAACGAAGGGGAAAGCGAGAGAAGGAGCCGGACCUGCUGCUGGCUGCUUCUGGGGUGCAGCGCAGUCUGCGGUACCAGGAUAGGCAGGAAGCCUGCAUUAGCACCCCCGCUGUGCCGCUGACCAGGAGCUGCCCGAGGAGAAUAAACUUACAACUUGAUUUUCAGAGGGCAGAGUACAUGCAACUCCAGUUGAAGUCAAGUGAAGUUGCUGGUGCUCAAUAUCUUCAUUGCUUGUGCUGCGACAGCAAAAAUAUUAGUCUUCUCUUUCCGAUGUGGAUUUUUCUUGUCUACAGUAUUGAUGUCAGUCAUUGUGAACGUAGUGACUAAAUGUGGAAAAUAUUUUUUUAGUAGUAUAGCAAACAAUAAACAUUCUGAAAUAAGGACCCUUAUUGAAAUAUCUUUGAAUAUGUUGGACAUAUCUACUGAACCAUGAAUAUACAAACCAUAUACAUUGGCCCAAACACUGUGGUUAUUCUCACCCCAUGCAAUCCCAUUGACUUCAGCAAUGCAUUUCGCUCCAGAAGUUUACCUGUCUCUUAAGAUUUGAGAUCUAAUUUUUUUCCUUGUCUAUCCCUUGUUUUUAGUGAGCUUUGUCAGCCCUGCGUAUCAAGCGGGACUGCCCCUGUUGGCCCAGUGUGGGGUUGGUACAUCCUGUCACACAAUCGUCAGGCCUCCCUGUGGGAUCAGGCAAUUGUAAUAAGGAGGGCUCAGGACCCCUGCAUGGCUGAGCAAACAAUCAGUUCUCAGCCCCUAAGCAAGGCAGAACAAAGCAAACAGUCUAUGGCCCCGAGCCUCCUGGCUGGGGCAGACAAUAGCUGUUGGGGUUUCUGAUCCUCUUGGUAAGGCAGAACAAUCAAACAAUCAGUCUGUAGCCCCUCGGUGGGGCAGAGCAAGCAAACUGUAACCACACCAAGUGGCAAGGAUGGGGUUAGAAUAGGGGAACCCUACUCCAGCGGGUUCCAACCCAGGGCCCUAUGAAGCUGGUAAAUUCCCCAUUAAGGGUUUAAGCAUCAGCUUUUAUUACAUUCCCUGGUCACUUCUACUGCAAGGUGCAUCAUGGGCAUCUCCUUGGCUGGCAGUGGCUCAGCAUCCCAGUCAGUAUCUAUGGUCAGCUGGUCUUCCGCAAUGUAGUUUGGGUCCACGAUUCCUAUGGCUUGGAGAAUCGCAGGUGCCUCUGCGAGAGCUUGCAAUACACGUCCGUCCUUCUCCUCAGCCAGCCCAGACUGAGCUGAACUGCCUCCUUUUACCUGUCCCUUCCACCUGGAGCAUGUGCAGCAGGGGCGAGGGGGCAUGAUCUCCUGAGCCCACAGAGAUUGGUCAGGCCCCCCUGGCCCAGUGUGGGGUUGAUACAUCCUGUCACAAGCCUCAGUAUCUUGUGUUUCACAAUCUGGCCUAUAGCCUAAUCCAGUGUUUCCCAAACUUGGGACACCAUUUGUUCAGGGAAAGCCCCUGGCACGCCGGACCUGUUUGUUUACCUGCCGGGUCUGCAGGUUCAGCUGAUUGCGGCUCCGACUGGCUGUGGUUCGCGGCUCCAGGCCAAUAGGGGCUGUGGGAAGCGACGGCCGGUACGCCCCUCGGCCUGCACCACUUCCCGCAGUCCCCAUCGGCCUAUAGCGGCAAACAGCGGCCAGUGGGAGCCGCGAUAGGCUGAACCUGCAGACACAGAGGUAAACAAAGUGGCCCGGCCCGCCAGGGGCUUUCCCAGAACAAGUGGCAUCCCAAGUUUGGGAAACACUGGCCUAGUUAUAACAUUUGCACUCCCGUCUUCUCCUUCAUUCUACUCUUUUCAUUUCUCCAUGUCUUUGAGUUGCUAUAGAUUUUUCAACAUUCAUUACAACUAGCUGAAACAAGAAGACUGAUCCAGUUCUCAGUGAAGUGCAGAAUAUCAAAUGGGAGUUGGGUUGGAACCUAGAUAAACAGCAUAGAUUGUACCAAGUUCUACAUGUUCUUUCACUGUUACAUACCAAUUUAUAAUAUAAUAACUUUGCCAUAUGUUAUUAUUUGUAUUUUAUUAGAAGCUAGAAUAUCAGGGCUCCAUUGGUAUAGACACUAUAUAAGCAUAUAACAAUGAUAGUUUAUAUUGAUUUUAGGUUACUCCCCAAAAGACCUUGUGACGGACAUGGAGCUGCUGUGUAAUAAUUUAUUAAUAUUGUAGAUUGACGUAGUUAUUGGGAUGUUUACUCGAUGACUAUAUUGGGUUAAAUCAACAGUGUUGGGAAAGAGGCAGAUAGGGGAAGCAGUGACUAGAGAAAAGACAUCUGUCAGUGAGCAGCUGAAGGUUGUUAUAGGACAAUGGGUUAACCAUUGGCUCUGAGGAGACUGGUUCAGCCUCCUCCUAAGCCCACCAGACUGGUUUAGGACAGCAGGGCCAAAAAGCCUGGUAACUUAGAAGACAAAGGGACUUAAUAACAAGAGAUUCUCUCUAGUAGAGAGGCAGUUGUUUCUGAGAAUCUGUUCAGUCUG